GGUUAAGCGACUAAGCGUACACGGUGGAUGCCCUGGCAGUCAGAGGCGAUGAAGGACGUGCUAAUCUGCGAAAAGCGUCGGUAAGGUGAUAUGAACCGUUAUAACCGGCGAUGUCCGAAUGGGGAAACCCAGUGUGAUUCGUCACACUAUCGUUAACUGAAUACAUAGGUUAACGAGGCGAACCGGGGGAACUGAAACAUCUAAGUACCCCGAGGAAAAGAAAUCAACCGAGAUUCCCCCAGUAGCGGCGAGCGAACGGGGAGCAGCCCAGAGUCUGAAUCAGCUUGUGUGUUAGUGGAACGGUCUGGAAAGUCCGACGGUACAGGGUGAUAGUCCCGUACACCAAAAUGCACAGGCUGUGAACUCGAAGAGUAGGGCGGGACACGUGGUAUCCUGUCUGAAUAUGGGGGGACCAUCCUCCAAGGCUAAAUACUCCUGACUGACCGAUAGUGAACCAGUACCGUGAGG
rnacentral:rRNA from 1 species